rnacentral:rRNA from 1 species
UACGUAGGGUGCAAGCGUUGUCCGGAAUUAUUGGGCGUAAAGAGCGUGUAGGCGGCUCGAUUAGUCCGCUGUGAAAGUCCAGGGCUCAACCCUGGAAUGCCGGCGGAUACUGUCGAGCUAGAGUCCGGAAGGGGCGAGUGGAAUUCCUGGUGUAGCGGUGAAAUGCGCAGAUAUCAGGAGGAACACCUAUGGCGAAGGCAGCUCGCUGGGACGUGACUGACGCUGAGACGCGAAAGCGUGGGGAGCAAACAGG